rnacentral:rRNA from 1 species
GAUGAACGCUGGCGGCGUGCCUAAUACAUGCAAGUCGAGCGAACAGACGAGGAGCUUGCUCCUCUGACGUUAGCGGCGGACGGGUGAGUAACACGUGGAUAACCUACCUAUAAGACUGGGAUAACUUCGGGAAACCGGAGCUAAUACCGGAUAAUAUAUUGAACCGCAUGGUUCAAUAGUGAAAGACGGUUUUGCUGUCACUUAUAGAUGGAUCCGCGUCGCAUUAGCUAGUUGGUAAGGUAACGGCUUACCAAGGCAACGAUGCGUAGCCGACCUGAGAGGGUGAUCGGCCACACUGGAACUGAGACACGGUCCAGACUCCUACGGGAGGCAGCAGUAGGGAAUCUUCCGCAAAGGGCGAAAGCCUGACGGAGCAACGCCGCGUGAGUGAUGAAGGUCUUCGGAUCGUAAAACUCUGUUAUUAGGGAAGAACAAAUGUGUAAGUAACUAUGCACGUCUUGACGGUACCUAAUCAGAAAGCCACGGCUAACUACGUG